AACUCCCUGCUGGAGCCAGCGUCGUGACGUCAGAGACAUUAUUGGGGAUGUACCACGCGCCUGCGCGUAUUCAUGACUCUUGACUUUCAGUGUGCUUCGCUAGCAGACACAUGCAGUUCUGUUCCAGCACCUCACUAAAAUGUUGAAUUCUUUGUGUGUACGUGUGCGUUGAUGACAAUAGACCACACACACACACACACAUACACAUAUGUUUA